rnacentral:sRNA from 1 species
CAGGAGUGAAAAGGCCGGGGUAGCUCUCUGCGUUGCUGCUGCCGGAGUCUAGAUUCAAAAAGAGCUUCCAGAGG